rnacentral:lncRNA from 1 species
UUCAUUUUGUUUGCAGAUUAAUCCUAGAUUUGGCACACCAGUUUUGAGUCCUUAGUGUUAGACCAGAGCAAUCAUUGUGUUUCUCACAUGUUCCUCUAGGAACACACUUAUUUUUAACUUUGCUCAAAAUGAUUUAUGAACUCUCAUGCCAUUUCCAGCAUUGAAGUCAGACCCCAGUUAAUGCAGCCCCUUCAGCAGCUGAGUCUCUAAAGCCUCCCAGACAACGUGCAGAUCUGACCAAAGAGAGUUGGAGAGCUAAGCUGAUAGUCAUCUCUGAGGCUUCUUGUGGGGCUUAAUUGCUUCCAGGAUCAGUCACUCACAGAGCACACCACUGCGCAAUGGAACAGUCUCCAGUAGGUACAAGGUAGGUACGAGAGUCAUUGGCUCUGAGCUAGUGUUGGACACACAAAUGACUUCAGUACAGUGGCUCUUCACCACCCUAACGGAGAUGUUUUGCCUUCAGAUCCACACUAAUAUCUUUGCACUACACUGCGGAAGACAGGCACGUGGACAGGCUUUGGCAUAGAUUAACACAAGCUUUGGCGUCUCUGUAUCAUAUUCUCCUGAAGGUUCAUCUUCAUGAGGAAGUUGCUCAAAAUACCUACCUCCCAGAGCUAUUCUAUGCUGCUGAGGUAACCCUCUGAGCAUGGGCACUUCCAGUGUUAUACAG